GACGAACGCUGGCGGCGUGCUUAACACAUGCAAGUCGUACGGUAAGGCCCUUUCGGGGGUGCACGCUUGGCGCACGGAUGGGUAACACGUGAGUAACCUGCCCACCCCUGUCGUAUAACUCAAGGCAACUGGCUCGAAUACUGAACAUGUGCCCCUGCUGCAUGCAGGGGGUUGGAAAGCUCCGGGGGGUGUGGAUGGACUCGCGGCCUAUCAGCUUGUUGGUGGGGUAGUGGCCUACCAAGGCGGCGACGGGUGGCCGGCCUGGGAGGGUGAACGGCCACAAUUGGACCGGGGUGAGGCCCAGGCUUCUACGGGAGGCAGGAGGGGGGAAUAUUGGCCCAAUGGCGCGAGCCCGAUGCAGCAAAGCCGCGGUGGGGAAGACGGGCUUCGGGUUGGAAACCGCUUUCAGCAGGGACGGAGCUGUGUGUGACGGUACCUGCAGAAGAAGCACCGGCUAACUACGUG
rnacentral:rRNA from 1 species